rnacentral:rRNA from 1 species
GAUGAACGCUGGCGGCGUGCCUAAUACAUGCAAGUCGAGCGAACAGACGAGGAGCUUGCUCCUUUGACGUUAGCGGCGGACGGGUGAGUAACACGUGGGUAACCUACCUAUAAGACUGGGAUAACUUCGGGAAACCGGAGCUAAUACCGGAUAAUAUUUCGAACCGCAUGGUUCGAUAGUGAAAGAUGGCUUUGCUAUCACUUAUAGAUGGACCUGCGCCGUAUUAGCUAGUUGGUAAGGUAACGGCUUACCAAGGCAACGAUACGUAGCCGACCUGAGAGGGGGACGGCCCACACUGGAAUUGAGACACGGCCCAGACCCUUACGGGAGGCAGCGGUAGGGAAUCUUCGGCAAGGGGGGAAACCUUGCCGGACCAACGCCGGGUGAGUGAUGAAGUCCUUCGGACGGUAAAACGCUGUUAUUGGGGAGAACAAACGUGUAAGUAACUGUGCACGUCUUGACGGUACCUAAUCAGAAAGCCACGGCUAACUACGUG